UGCCUGGGCAGGUACCUACAUACUUUGGGGAGGCAGGGCAAGAGCCGUUUAGGGCUUUGCACGUUAGCGUCCACACUUUGAAUUGGGCCUGAAAACAGAUUGGGAGGCAGUGCCGUGCAGAUGCAAAGGAAAAGGGAUGCCUGGAUUUACCUGAUCUGAAAAGUGUAUUUCACCGCUUGCUGAAAGAAUGGGGUGUAUGCUGAGAAACAUAAGACUUCUGGGACUGGAGGACCAUGAUUUGAGAUCUGGACAGCAUGAACAUAAGAACUAGCCUGCUGGAUCAGACCAGAGUCUGUUGGAACGCUGCAUUUAUUUUAAUGGGGUUGGUUUUAACAAUAUAGAGCCAUCAUUUAAUGUUUAUUUAUAUUCGAUACUGUGGAUUUUACUGCGCUCUAUCUAUCGUUUGUUCACCGCCCUGAGCCCCUCGGGGGAGGGCGGUUUAUAAAUACAACAAUCAAUCAAUCAAUCAAUAAAUCUAAAAAGUGAGCUGAC